ACCAACUGUCGAAGUUUGCCGAGGAUUACCGAGGACUCAAUAAGAACCGAAUGAGCCGUGGCGAAGUUUGCCGAGGAUUACCGAAGAUUCUGAUGACCACCAGAUCCAGUCUGUAUCCAGGUCAGAGGGUCACUGCAGUCACCCGGAUCCAGUAUGUAUCCAGCCCAGAUGGUGGAUCAGCACCUAGAAAGGACCUCUAGAGCCCUGAAAGACAGCGGAGACCAGGACAACUAGAUGAGCCCCAGAGACAGAUCCCCUGUAAAGACCUUGUCUCAGACGACCACCGGGACAAGACCACAGGAAACAGAUGAUUCUUCUGCACAAUCUGACUUUGCUGCAGCCUGGAAUUGAACUGCUGGUUUCGUCUGGUCAGAGGAGAACUGCCCCCGACUGAGCCUGGUUUCUCCCAAGGUUUUUUUCUCCAUUCUGUCACCGAUGGAGUUUUGGUUCCUUGCUGCUGUCGCCUCUGGCUUGCUUAGUUGGGGACACUUCAUUUACAGCGAUAUCAUUGACUUGAUUGCAAAUUAUUGCACAGAUACUAUUUAAACUGAACUGAGCUGCAUGAUGACAUCACUGAAUUCAAUGAUGAAAUGCCUUUAACUGAAAAAUUAGUGUUUUCUAUUGUCCUUCUGCAUUUUUGACACACUGUUUUCCUAAUUAAUGCUGUACAGUUGCUUUGACACAAUCUGUACUGUUAAAAGUGCUAUAUAAAUAAAGGUGAUGACUUGUCUUUGUCUUUUUAGAGGGUGAUGGAGCUGGAUGCUGAGGAAAACCAUCACAAAUUCAUAUGUUUGGAUGAUUCAGGCUUUAAUCUGGCCAAGACGUGGAGGAGAG
ensembl:lncRNA